AUUCAACAUACGUCUGUCUUCACAGCCAAAUAACGUUCUUGUUUCGUAUUAUCAUCUCUUUUUUUUUAUUAACCCCCUCUGCCUCUACGCAUAGAAAAGCUCACUAUGAAAAGGAAGCUUCCAAGUUUGACAUAUUUGAGAAUAUUAUACAUCUAUUUUGCAUGAUCACUUAUCAAUUUUCUUUUUAUAUUUUUAACACUAGACUUAGCGAUAAUCUUAAACGUUGGACUCCGAUUAGAUCUGAAUAACUAAAAGAUUGGACAACUGAAAUAUAAAGUAACAUUAUCAAGUUUAUAUGAGAAGCAAUUUAACCAUUUAUAAUAUUUCUGUCUUUUGAUGAAAAGUCUAUUUGAUUAGAAAAAAUAUUCACCUCUAAUCAAGGCUUAACACAUGGUGUCCAAGUCCAAAAAAAAAAGUCAUUAUGUCAAUUGAAUUGAAACUCAAAAAGAAAAUAUUCUUCGAAUUUUUUUUGUGUGUGGUUAAUAAAGUUUGACCCUUCUCUUCCUCUAUUACUUAGUUUACUUUAAAAGUUUAACUUAAACGUCAAAGAGAUCAUAUCGGGAAUCACGCUCGACAUUGAUUUUAUUACAAGAUCAAAGGCUUCUAGCGUAAGAUGGAUAUGAUGCAAAUCACUCGAGUUCACCAACUUCUUCCCCUAACACUAUCAAAUAUAUAUUUAUUUGAUUUUUUAUUAAAAAUUAUUAAUGAUUAGGUGUCACGAAUAUAAGACUCGCCCAUAUUAUAGAGCGAAGAACCGAAAACAAAUUAGAGGAUCAGUUUCUUCGCUAAAAAUAAAUAGAUUUAGAAAUUCGAGCCUGCGUGGGAAGCUAAUUGAUGUUUCAUUUUCCUGGCAAUUAAUAUAUUUGAACUUACCAUAUAAGUAACCACAAGACACUUUAUUUCCUUCGGUCCAUGGCAGCAUAUGACAUGUCAUGAGCACAUGACAUGGCAUGAAUUAAGCAGCAGUAGUGACAGCAGCCUAUCAGAGUGUUGUUGAGUUCUUCAAGCAAUCAAUAAGAGUGAGUCAAGUUUCCUUUCAUUGAAAAGGACUUGUAAGACAGCUUUCAGACUCGCACACAAAUCUAAUUUACAAUUUGAGGCAUUAGGGUGGUGAAGUCGUUCCCUAUCAAUUUCCAGUGACAGAGUUAGCUAAAGUCCAUCAGUGUCCUUCCAUUUGUACACGUAAGUUAGAAUCCAGCUUACGGGACUACUUUUCUAUAACAUCAUACUUCAGGCAAACAAGCAACUGUUAGCAUGCCCACUCAAAUGGCCCACACUUUUCAAGAAGUUGUUUUUGCAGGAUGAUGGUGUAUGUAGCUUAAACUUUUUUCUACACAAUCUUUUUUUUAUAUUUUAAGAUAAUUAUAUUGGCUUUUGUGCAUAAAAUCCAUGUUUUAUUUUGUUUACUGUUCUUCUCAAAAUUCUUAUUUGCUUAUAGUUUAAAUAAAAAAUAAAACUAAUGUAGGGGUAGAUAUGGGACCGACACCUCGUCAUCUUGUAACCAAAAUCUCAAUAGAAUAUUAGGUGGACCGGAUGUUAUCAUGGAUUCAACAUAUCAUGAUCAUAAUUAAGUCCAAAAGAGAUGCACCUCGUCAUCUCUAAGGCCCGAGCAUUCCUGGCCUAACAUGACAAAUCGUACCCUCAACAAGUAACAUACUAUCACUUGCAUAACAACUAGUACCCAUCAUAAUUAUCCUUGUCAAAAUAGAUGCAACAUACAUUAUAUUUUAUCAAGGAUAAUUCAAACUAUGAUCUCUUUCCUCUCCCAACAGGGACCACAUCCUUCGUUUACUCCAUCAUUCCCGGCUCCUAUCCCUCCACCUACUCUAGUACUAACACUUGUGGUAGAGUCUUGACCUCCCUCAAUUGACAUACCACAAGAGACACAUUCUCCCUUGUAUCCCUCUCACAAAUUAUAUCUAAACCCACCACAAGAGCUCGAGGCCUAGCUCCUCAAUAGCCAAUAUCCCCUCCAAUGCUUGACGAGAUGCCUCAGCUAGCCAUGACCCUUGUCGUCCUAGGACAUCCCUAGCUAACCGAUCACCCAAUGAAUAUUGCGAUCUCGUAUUCCCAAGGUUAAUGGAUCUCAUCAUCCCCACUCAGGGUUUACCGAUUCCACGAACUACACUCUCCAAACACAGAUCCAACAAAUGGAUCGGCUCUUGAAAGACAUGCAUCGAUAAUUCCACUUAACAAAGGAGAGAGAUUCAACUGACUUCUCCUGACUAAGUCUCCUUUGUCUAGAAGAUCUAAGAGGAGUCGAUACUGAUGAGUUUUUGACUAUCGACCUUCGAGGCAUUUGAUGGAAGCAUAAAACAUCUUGAUAUGAUACACCUUCCCUACAAUAUUAUGUGGCAUGACACGAGAGUAGUAUUCCCAUCUUAAACCAUUCUUAAUGAGCUCCUUUGCUAGCUGAUUAAGGAGUUCAGGCAACACUUUGUUGGGAACAUACACCCCAAACAUUCAGCCACUACCCUUUUGAUGAUCCAAUAGGCUGAGGAGAUGUUUGCUGAUUUUAUCACUAUAUUUACAAAUGAUGCCUGAGGGACCACUGAAACACCCCCCUCAGUCCCAUGUAAGCAUUUAUAUUCAGGCUAAGACCUUCUUAGCUCUUUUGGUCUCUAAUAGAGAGGCACAUGAAAACCAUAUCCCAAUAUACUUUAAUGCUCUAACUAGUACAUUAUGACUAAGGCAAUGGUCUUAGGAAAGCAUGAGGAAUCACACAAGUGUUUAAAAUUUGGAGCGACCGAUCCCGUCCCCAACCCUAAGGUCACCUUGGUAAAGAAGACCCAAUCGAGUAGGCCAUCUCGAUUGUGCCCAGACUUAAUCCCUCCCUUGCUCCUCCCUCCUUGAUACGAGUUGGAUUAAGGUCUUCCUCUAGAUCAAGAAAUGGUUACUACGGGACAUCAAGUGUCCCUAUUUAGUAGUUGUGACAAGUCUAAAUACUAUAAGUUCCACUAGGACCAUGACUAUGAUCCUGAGGAUCGUCUUGAUGUGAAAGAAUAAAUUAAAGAACUCAUCCGUUGAGGGCACCUUAGGCGCUUUGUACGUAGAUGCAUGCUAGUCAUAGGUGCUAUAUAAGCCAAUCACGUGAGUGAUGACAUGUGUGAGAUGAUACGCGUUCUGUUUGCUCAUUAUAUUAUUUGAUAUUUUAUCACUUUAUAUUGCUUGCUGCAUAUAUAUAUAUAUAUAUAUAUAUAUAUAUAUAUAUAUAUAUAUAUAUAUAGUGAUAUCAUUAGAUUUGUGCAAUGAGAAUUAGAUCAUGUUGAGAUCACAAUACUGAGACCAAUUCACCUUUAAACACAGACCCUAAAUAAUCAUGGUCAUAGGUUACUCGAGAGGGACAUCGAGAUAACCGGACAGAUUGGUGUGCUGUAUAGCUGUCCAUAUGAUGGAGGCAGCUAGUCUUAUAGUUG
rnacentral:lncRNA from 1 species